AACGUAGGAGACAAACGUUAUCCGGAGUUACUGGGCGUAAAGCGUGCGCAGGCGGUUGUGCAAGACAGGUGUGAAAUCCCCGGGCUUAACCUGGGAACUGCACUUGUGACUGCACGGCUGGAGUACGGCAGAGGGGGAUGGAAUUCCGCGUGUAGCAGUGAAAUGCGUAGAUAUGCGGAGGAACACCGAUGGCGAAGGCAGUCCCCUGGGCCUGCACUGACGCUCAUGCACGAAAGCGUGGGGAGCAAACAGG
rnacentral:rRNA from 1 species